rnacentral:rRNA from 1 species
UACAGAGGGGGCAAGCGUUGUCCGGAAUUACUGGGCGUAAAGCGUACGCAGGUGGCCGUGCAAGUGUGAUGUGAAAGCCCCCGCGCUUAACGCGGGGAGGCCAUUACAGACUGCACAGCUUGAGGGAUGCAGAGGGUCGUGGAAUUGCCGGUGUAGUGGUGAAAUGCGUAGAGAUCGGCAGGAACACCAAGGACGAAGGUAGCGACCUGGGCAUUCCCUGACACUCAUGUACGACAGCGUGGGGAGCGAACCGG